AAUAUUGCACAAUGGGCGAAAGCCUGAUGCAGCAGCGCCGCGUGAGCGAUGAAGGCUUUCGGGUCGUAAAGCCCUUUUCUAAGGGAAGAUAAUGACGGUACCCUAGGAGGAAGCCCUGGCCUACUACGUGCCAGCAGCCGCGGUAAUACGUAGGGGGCAAGCGUUAUCCGGAUUCAUUGGGCGUAAAGGGUGCGUAGGCGGCCCUAUAGGUCAGAGGUCAAAGGCUACGGCUCAACCGUAGUAAGCCUUUGAAACUGUAGGGCUUGAGUGCAGGAGAGGAGAGUGGAAUUCCUAGUGUAGCGGUGAGAUGCGUAGAUAUUAGGAGGAACACCAGUGGCGAAGGCGACUCUCUGGACUGCAACUGACGCUGAGGCACGAAAGCGUGGGGAGCGAAC
rnacentral:rRNA from 1 species